ensembl:lncRNA LINC02250 long intergenic non-protein coding RNA 2250
AGAGGCUGGGAACACCAAGGGCAUGGCAGCAGCAUCUGGUGGGGUUCUGUGCUACAUUACCCCAUGGUGGAAGGGCAGAGGGCAGAGGGCAGAAGAGGAAAGGCAGAAGAGAAAGACAGCAUGGGAGACAGCAAGAAAAUGGAGGCCAAAACUUAUCCUUUUAUCAGGAAUCCACUCCCACAAGAUUGCACAGAGUUCUUGAUAUUGAAGAGUGAACCAUGUUCAAGGAAGAAGAGAUCACCCCAUAAAACCCUUCCAGCUUGUGUUACAAUCAGAUGCCUCUAAGAUGGACAAAAAAGGCACACAGAGAUAUUCCCUACUCAGGCUCUGGUCAAAUCUCUCUCCACUUAAUGGAGCAUGGCUUUCAACUGCACCUGGAGAUGUAUCAGAGCUGACGCAUCACAUGAAGAAAAGAAAUCUAACAAGCUUCCUGGGCAUUCACCGCGCCAAAGUCACCAUCAUGACUGUCACCUGCUGGAGCAGGGCAGAGCCAUCCACGAGAGGCAGAAAAUUGUGUGCAGGCACCGAGCUCCAGUACCACGAUGGCACAUGGGGAAAGCCUCAGUGAGGGAGGGGAGCAGAACCCUUGGUCCCCUCGGAUCCCCUCGGAGGGACCGGAUACACAGGAAGCAAACGGGGUGCAUGAGGAAGGCACACAGGGAGGAUGCUGGCUAGAGUACCUAGUCGAUCUGGAUUCCACACAUUCCAAGACAGGUUUCGUCCACUCUUACAGGAACAAAGAUGCAUUUUGACAACAUGCUAGCAUUAAUAAGCUAAUAAGCACCCAGUGGUGUCCCUUGAUUGUUUAACAAGAAGCUCACUGAGUAGACUCCAAGCUCAGGCCCUGAGCUUUGACAAAGGUGGGAAUUUGAAGGUGGACUGAGAGUCAACUUCCUCUAUUGUCAUCUACGGCUCUGAAUAAAAUAUUUACUGCAGA